UACGUAGGGUGCGAGCGUUGUCCGGAAUUAUUGGGCGUAAAGAGCUUGUAGGCGGUUUGUCGCGUCUGCUGUGAAAAUCCGGGGCUCAACCCCGGACUUGCAGUUGGUACGGGCAGACUAGAGUGUGGUAGGGGAGACUGGAAUUCCUGGUGUAGCGGUGGAAUGCGCAGAUAUCAGGAGGAACACCGAUGGCGAAGGCAGGUCUCUGGGCAUUAACUGACGCUGAGGAGCGAAAGCAUGGGGAGCGAACAGG
rnacentral:rRNA from 1 species